CCUUGAAGAUACAUUUCUAUACAAAAGGAACUUCAAGUAUCUCUGAAAAUGUGGGAAUAAAGAAAGAGAACAUUUUCCCAGAGCUGCAAACCACUGGAGGCUCCCUUCCAGGAGACGAAACUUGAUGUUCCCACUGGAAGCUGACCCCACAUGUGACUCUCGGCAGGACCAAGCAUGGCCACCAACAGAUACGCUGUCAGAGCCAAACACAAGCCUGCAGGGGAGCGUGAUGCGAUGAGCAGCUGCCACUGCUGAAAACUUUCUUUGUAGACCCUGACACCUGGCUUCCUUCACUGCAAAGCCUGACCUCCUCCUCCAAGGCACCACAGGAGACGCAUUAGUGUGGCAGGCGCUGCAGCAUGGAGCCAUUGCGUGAGAAACGGGAAGAGAACCUGACUGCAAGCCAGCUCCUCGCAAAUGUGAAACAAAUGUCAGGCAAAGCAAGGAUCCAGGCAGCAGAAGCAAGCUGGUUUCAAAUCAAGAUGGCCCUGUGA
rnacentral:lncRNA from 1 species